GCAACAUUCGGACCGUCGGUCUACCGAGCAAUAUAACACGCUCGGUGGAAGAUCUUUCCUUUGUUGU
rnacentral:pre_miRNA from 1 species